UACGUAGGGUCCGAGCGUUGCCCGGAAUUAUUGGGCGUAAAGAGCUCGUAGGCGGUUUGUCGCGUCUGCUGUGAAAUCCCGAGGCUCAACCUCGGGCCUGCAGUGGGUACGGGCAGACUGGAGUGCGGUAGGGGAGAAUGGAAUUCCUGGUGUAGCGGUGGAAUGCGCAGAUAUCAGGAGGAACACCGAUGGCGAAGGCAGUUCUCUGGGCCGUAACUGACGCUGAGGAGCGAAAGCGUGGGGAGCGAACAGG
rnacentral:rRNA from 1 species